UAAACGUAGGCGGACUAAUGCGUUUUCAA
rnacentral:piRNA from 1 species